rnacentral:rRNA from 1 species
AAACGAUGUCGACUUGGAGGUUGUGGCUUCCGGAGCUAACGCGUUAAGUCGACCGCCUGGGGAGUACGGCCGCAAGGUUAAAACUCAAAUGAAUUGACGGGGGCCCGCACAAGCGGUGGAGCAUGUGGUUUAAUUCGAUGCAACGCGAAGAACCUUACCUGGUCUUGACAUCCAGGUGCUGCAUGGCUGUCGUCAGCUCGUGUUGUGAAAUGUUGGGUUAAGUCCCGCAACGAGCGCAACCCUUAUCCUUUGUUGCAACUCAAAGGAGACUGCCAGUGAUAAACUGGAGGAAGGUGGGGAUGACGUCAAGUCAUCAUGGCCCUUACGACCAGGGCUACACACGUGCUACAAUGGCGCAUACAAAGAGAAGCGACCUCGCGAGAGCAAGCGGACCUCAUAAAGUGCGUCGUAGUCCGGAUUGGAGUCUGCAACUCGACUCCAUGAAGUCGGAAUCGCUAGUAAUCGUGGAUCAGAUGCCACGGUGAAUACGUUCCCGGGCCUUGUACACACCGCCCGUCACACCAUGGGAGUGGGUUGCAAAAGAAGUAGGUUACCACUUUGUGAUUCAUGACUGGGGUGAAGCGUAACAAGUAACCAAGG